CUGGGGGGGAUGCAGAAGGAGCCGUCCCCGCCGCCUUCCCGGGGCUCUUCGCUGCCCCCGCGGUGCGGGAGAGGAGCGAGAUGGGCAGGAUGCUGCCGCUCUCCCUCUGCUUGCACGUAUGGGUGCGGGUGCCCGGCCCCGUCCUUUUGGCACAGGGCAGAGGGCAGCAUCGGGGCCCGAGCCCGCGCCCAUCUGGGUGCAAGAGAGCGAAAAGUGGAAGCUCCGCGCACCCCGGGGGGCUCUGCACCAUCCCCAGCGCAGGGCCGGCAUCAGCCGCCGCAGAGACCCUUUCCAGGGCCAAACCACCGCCGUAACCCCAUCAGGAGAAAGGAUCUCAGCCUGAAUUCGGCUGUACCGUGGGAAAGCAAAGUUCCAAGGAGCGCUGUUAAUAGAGAUUCUAAUGAGGAGUCAUUGGAGAAAUUAAAAAGGGGCAGAGAGAGACGGCGGCGGCGGCGCUAAUUCCGCAGGAAACCUCCCAGGGAAAGGCAGCGCAGGCGGGAGCGCUGGGAAGCAUGAAGGCCUGGAAUUAGACUAUCAUUUAGAGAGCGUUACUAAUCUGAAGUUACAGCAGUAAUUCCGUGAUUUGCUGGGUCCCACACGCAGCGCCGGAAUUAAAGAUACGGAUUUGAGAGAAACGUAACUCAACGGCGGCUCCGCGGCUCGGCGAGCGCCGAAUGAAUCAUUCAUUCCAAAGGCAGCCAAAGACGUGUCAUUAGGAGCCGACCUCCUCCUCUCCAUCUGGAAUAUGCGCGCUCCGUGCGAGCCCAGAAAUUGUGGAAGGGAUCGGAGGUGGGAGGAGGGAACGCGGCCCUUCUGCUGCUCCGUUACAUCGGUUAUUUAUAAGAAAUAAUCUUCCCAUUGCUUUGCGCAAUGUUGUGGUUGGUGCUCUGUUCCUCUCCUGCUUUAUUUUCCCUCCCGUGCGAUAGCGCCGAGUCAGGUGCGAGCGUUGAGGUGGAGAUGCUUUAAAACUGGAGCGAACAAAGCGAGCAAGGUGCUUGAUGAAUGCAUUUAUUCCGGAGUAAUGAUUUGAUGGGGGAUGGAAGAAAGAAACAUUCAAAUUCCUAAUGAAUGUAAUUCAGGGGGAAGCGUUGGAGCGGUGGUGGAGGAGAGCUGCGUUGCUGGAGUGCUGCUGCGUGGCACAGCCCAGGAGGUAGUUCUGUCCAUGGCUUUUGUAGUGGCAAAAGGUGGGCAUUUAAAAAGAAAAUCCAAGGAAAAGAAAGUGUGUGUAUAUAUAUAUAUAUGUACACAUAUACGCACACGUAUAAGAAAUGUGUGUGUGUGCGUGUGUAAAUACAUAUAUAUGAUUUAUGAAAUAAAAUGGAAGUGUGGCGAUCAGGGUGUGCACGUGAACUCCUACCAAGGACAAGGCAAGCUCUGUCGCCGUGCUCUUGGGUGCUCAGACAGCAUCCUCAGCUCCCCAGUUUCCCCUCCCCGAAGCCCCGUGCUCUCAGCUGACUGUUGGGGUGUUUUGCAGGCAGUAGGGCUGGCCCACGUAUCCCGGAGCUGUUCCCCCACAGUAGGUUUGAGGCAGGGAUGGAGCACUUUGCCCUUUAUGUUCCGGGCAAGAGGAGCUGUGGUCACAUUUUUGCUGGGGUUUCAUUCUUCGUUUUCACCCUGGGAGUCGGCAGUGAGGGUGCACCCAUCCACACCGCAGUGCCCACCUCGCAGCCCAGUGCCACUUCUCCGCUUUCUGCCUUCUGAUGGGUCGCUGGCCCACCUCCUUUGGACGUGGGAUGGGUUUUGGUGAGCAGGGCCACACCUGAAGCAUCCCAGCAGCCUGCUGCCACUUGGCCCUGCGCCCUGCUGGUGUCAGUGUCACUGUCAGCCCAAACCUUCCUCCCAAAUCCAGAAGGACGGUGCCUGCUGGUGCUCUCAUCGCUUGUGGGGCGGUGCGGCGCUGCAGGCAGGGAGCAGAGCGUGGCUCCCAGGUCCCUCCUGCUGCUGGUGGCGGUCCCUUUGCAGAGGUACAGGGUGCAGUGCGGGUGGGGUGAGCUCUCCGAGGCCGGGUGUGAUGUCUUUGUUCUUCAGCGGUGCUGGGGGUGGGCAGAGGGAGACGGGGAUGUAAAGAUCCUUGGGGGUAAUUGGAAAAUGCCAUUAGGGGAUCGAUGCCACAGGGCAUCGCGUGCUCCAACUGUUUUAUUUAUUUCUCUUCUCCAGAACUUCUCCCCGUGCAGCGGGAUGGGCUCAUGGAUUUGUAGCCGGUGCCCAACCUGUGUGGCACUGAGUGGGUGGGGAUGGGGCUGCCUGGUGCCUGCUGCUCCAACAAGCUGUGCUGAAUGGAGGCAGGGCCGCUCGGUUAUGGAUGAGAUCCCAUCAAUGGGCAUUUUUGUGGAAUUGCCUGGCGAUGGCUGGUGUGGAGCUGGAGGCCUGGCUCCGUCGGUCCUUUUGUCUCCCUGAUUCAUCGCGUGCUGCCUGCAUCCACCUGGCCCUGUGUCCUGGCUCUGUCUGUGCCAUGGGGCUGCGCUGGAGGCCCUGCCCAGGUCUGAGGCAUACAGCUCCCAUCCCCUCAGCUCAGGGUGCUCUGUGGCAGCCAAGUGCUAAUUUGGCACCGGGAGCUUUUCAGAGCUGUGAGCACGAAGGUGUUUGCAUCUCACACAUAGCGCGGGUGCCACGUGUCACCUGGGCGCUUUGUCACCCCAAAUCCUCACGAGCUGUUGGGGUCGGUGGUGUGAGAUGGGGACAUCGCCGCCUGUGCCAGCUUCCCUCCGCCACCCUGCCCAGGUUGGUUUGCUGCUUUUUGGCGUUUCUUGCCCCAAAACACGUUGGCAGAAGCGAGGCGUGCCGGGUGGGGACAGAGCUCUGGGUGCCACAUCAAUGUUUGUUCAGCGGCUCAGGUUGGGUUUAGGGGUGUUUGCCUGCACAGCUCAGGAAUGGGAGUAAAAAAAGAAAACGGGCUGGGGAGGAAAGCACACAAUCUCCGUCAGUUAGCUGUCUCUUGGAAACUCAGCUUGCUGAUCCUAUAGAGGCUUUCUCUUUUCCUUCACCCUGGUCUGGCCUUAAGUACCACUUUAAGUGGGCUUUGCUCAUUCACAUCCAGGCUCCUUAGAGCAAUUGAGCCCGCGGGGGUUUGAAAAGAAGGGACGGUCCCUCAAUGGCAGGACCUUGGGCCAGGCUAAUUGGUUUUGGUUCAAGGGGAUACUGGAUUUGUGAAAAGCCCAAAGCCACCUUUCCCACGCCAAAUCCCGGCCCUUCAGAGGGGGAAGUGUGGGGUGCCAGGUGGGGAAGGAGCUGAAAGAAGGGUGAUGUGCUCGGAGCUCCGUCGCUGCCCCAACACCCACCGGCCCCUGCAGGGAUGGGGACCCCGUGGUAGCACAGGGACGGGUCCCUGCUCUAUGGGGACGGGUCCCUGCUCCGUAGCUCCAUCCUGCUUUCGUUAAACCUUGGCUUCAAGGCUGCCACGGAGACGCUGGGAGGAGCAGAAGGAUGGGACCUGGGGAAAGCUGGCAGCACCAAAUCGCAUGCGUGCAUGUCUUUUAUGUCUCAUUUUGCUUUGGGAUUUUAUUUUUUUUUUUUUCCCCUUACGCUGAAUCUCUCUGGCACCAUUCCAGCAGUCCCAUGACCUUUACUCUCCCAGAUCCAUAAAAAUCACUUAAUUAUUGGGCCGAAAAUCAAGGCUUGGAAACAAAGCCAGCUUAUGGGACCAUCAUUUCUUGAUGUAUUUCCUGCGAGGACAUAUUUCUGGGCACCUUCAGAGCCGUGCGCGCAGCGUGUUGGAUAUGAGAUAUCAAGGCAUUAUUUAUUGAGGAAGUCUUCACACUCCCUCAUCUGUUAUAAUUAACUGAUGACAUUUUUUCUAAGGUUCAAAAUAUGGUGAAAAAGUAUAAUUAGCGCGAAGCUGAGGCACUGCAUUAAAAUGUCUCCUAUAGUUAAUGUAAGAUCGUGCUGCUAUUUAUUAUAGGAGGGGUCGGCUCUGACCUCUGUGUUGCCUAACACUUUUUAUUGUAAAGAUUGUUGAACUUUUUUUUUCUCUUUUUGAGACCCUCUGACACUCCCAUUGUUUGCUGCGGGCCCUUGAAAUUCGGCGGGGGGAAGCUGUUCGGCGAGAGCGAUGCCUAUUCUUUGUCCCCUAAAUUCCUUUCAGGUUUAGCUGAAUUAUGAAUCAUUCAGAAUCACAAUUUCCCUUCGGUUGCCUCUUUGAGGCGGGGGGAAGAAAAAUAAAUGUGUUGUUUCUCCGGAAUAAUAAUCACAACAAACCAGGAGCGCGGUGCCCUGGCACGGCUGGGUUGGAUGGAAGAACCAUCACGACCGCCUCUAUGAGCCCCUUCCACAUCCAACCCAUCUGUGCCCCCAUCUCCCGGCACCAAACUCGGUGCGGGGAGGAAAAAAUUGCAUCUGUGUGCAUGGGUCCUGCCAGCCCCAGCGGUUCGCCUUCCUGCACCGCCGACCCCGGGAGAGCAGCCUUCUGCCGCUGCCAGAUAACAUUAGCUCUGUAUUUCAUAGUGGCAGAAAUCUGUGCCGAGGCUCCGGGCUCGAAAUCCCUCUCCCCGCGAUGAGCGUGGGGUGGAGGGAGGGGAAUUUGCUACACUUGCGUACAAUUGUUUCUUUUCUUUCUUUUUUUUUUUUUUUUUUUUUUUUUUGCUUUUUUGCUUAUAUAAACAAUGUAUUAUUUAUUAGGCAUAAAUAAUACAUUUUCUGUAUGUUUAGAAUGCACGUGAUUUCUGCAGAUUAAAAAUGUACGGGGUUUAAGGCACCAAACCAAGCGCUCGCAGGUCGGGGUGCGCGACUGCGCUUUGGCCGUGGGAUGUAAUUCAGCCUCUGCUGCCCGUGCCCAUCUCGGGCUGCAGUGACUCGGUCACAGCCUAUUUAUAGCUCACUCCCUCUUUCCCUGGUCAGGGUAGAUGCACGGCGAGGUGGAAUUGAGGUUGCACGGACAGCCGUAAAUUGAGCAUUUCCUAACUUGUGAAGUGCUUGACCACGGAGUUCAAACGAGGCCUUUUCAGGGCUGGGUUUCCGCAUGUGGCAUUAACGGCGUUGGUAGGGGAUGCAAAAUGCAGGCGUAGAGAAGCCAUAGAACAGCACAGCCCAAUUGGACUAUUGAAAGUGCUCUUUGAAUAGGUGGGGGAGUCAACAGAGCCUACACUUGAUCUGAGCUCAAUGGCCAAGAAGAUGUCUCCAAGCUGAAAGGGGGAAGCCUUUGUUUCACCAGCACCAGCCACGAUGUUUUCUUUGCCUUUGGUUUUGCCUCGUUCACUCCUAGGGAGGUUUGGGCUCCUUCUCUUGAGGAAUCUUCAUUGUGUUCACUGAAAUUGCACUUGGGAAAGCUGGUGUGGCCUUAGGAGGGUGCACACACGCGUGCUCCCAGCGUCACACCUCCCGACGUGCGCUGCCCGGGUCCGCGCCUUGCAUGCUCCUUCUUCCCAUGGAGCACACAUUGGAGGGAAAAGGGCGGCCUUUGUGCAUUAUAUGGGAGAUUUAAUCUCUUUUUUUAACUGCUGGAAGAAUUUCCUCCACUUUCCUUGGGAGCUGAUGGCGUGCAAUGCAGAUUUAUCUUUGCUGGAGAUGGCUUUCUUUUUCCUUUUCUUUGUUUGCUGGGAAUUCUCUCCAUUCUGCCUUGCAAUAUUUGUGAGGACGCGUUUGGCUCUCUCUGUUUUACAGCAGAGGACUCCAGCCAUUUUUGCCUUGUGGGUUCCUGCAGCCUGGUACCCUACAGGGGCUGCACCUGUGCUGGCACCAUGUCUAUCUACGUGCGCCACAUUGGGGUGUCCAUUGUGUGGGUACUGCCCAGUGUUCCACGGGCAUCUUCUUCAUAACUUUCCCCCUCUCUCCCACAUCUCAGUUCAGCAAAGGGCCUGUCUAUCUGGAUGCAGGCAAUAAACGUCUGUUCUCACCCUGACUUCUGUUAAUGAGAUAGAGACAGGUAAGCAUCACACAUACCAACUUUCCUGCUCUCAGCAACAUCAAGGAAACGGUGACAAGCUAUUAAUGGAAAGUGAUGGUCUGGGUGCUAAUUAGUGCUUCCUUUUCAACUUUUACCUCCAUGUCUCCGCGAUGCCCAUCCCAGCCUCUCCUUUCUCCUUGCAUCCCUUUGUUUCCAGCACGUUCCUCGUUCACUGCACACAUCCCAUCUCGAAGGGGCUUCUCUGUUCUUUUCCUACCAAUUGCUUGCUGCAUCUCUUCAUUCUCUUUUUGUGCCUUUUUUUUCCCUUGGUAAUUGCUGCCUGUACCUCCUUUCUCCAAAAAAAAAUAUAUAUAUAUAUAUAUGAGAACAAUACUGUGGUGGGGUCUGAGACCUUGGGAAUUGGGCCAUGCAAAGUUGGUCGUGAGUUUCUCAUCUUCAUCACCGGGCUGUGGUAUCUGCUUGUGGCACUGGCACACGGGGUCACAGUACCCUGGGGACGUGAGGUCAGAGAUCCGUCCCCUCUUCCCACAGGUAACGCUAUGGGGAGUCUCCCAGCAGCUCCCAGGUCCUGGUCACAGAGCAAUUAGUAUUUAAAGCAGAUCCAAUGGUGAUGCCCGCAGAUGGAACGGGAUGGCUCUCUGCUGUGUGAGCCUGUAUGAAAUGACAGGUUCUGCUAAGCCCUAAGUGCUCUCACUUGCCACCAGGCCCAGAAGGGGCUCUUUUUUCCAUCUCCAGCCCAAUCCCUGCUGCUGCAGCAGCGUGAUGCCUGGCCUCAGCCUGGUGCCCACUCUCUCCCACACCUCUCUCCUGUCUCCUAGGCUCUCUGGCUUCCCCGAGGACCCAACCAUCCCCUCCUCACUGUUUUCACAUGGGCUGUGCUUUUCCUGCUGCCAGGCACAUCCCACAGAGCCGCGUAAUCUGGCCCUGUCAUUCCCAGUCACAGGCUCAGCACACACCGUAGCUUUGUGGGGAACGCUCGCAGGGCAUCUAUGGUUUGCAUAUUAGCUAAUUAAUUUUCAUGACCAAACGAUGCUGCCUGGUCUCCUGUUUAUGCUCCUUGCCGCUCCGCUCUCCCUCUCCUCGCUGACACACACACGAGACGACACAUCUCCUCCGAACGUCAGCAUCCUCCCGCAGCCUUGAGAUGCGAGUGGUUAUUCUGUUGGCUUGUCAAACGCGGGUUUCCCAGCUUCAUGGUACACAGGGGCCCCCUGUUUCACAUUUGCUGAUUCUUAUUAGACCCAGCGCGCGAGGGCCCCGUCUCUCCCAGCAAAGCACCGCGCUGCAUCCCAUCCAUAAAUCCAAGCCUGGAACAAAGCCUCCUCUACCCUGCCCCAUAUUUCUACCCAGCCUGCCCGCUUUCCCCUCUCUCUCCCUUUCUCUUUCUCUCCCCUCUCCCAUGCUGAAGGUUUCCUAGUGCCAGGGAGAUAUGAUAAUUCUUGUGAAGAGAGCAUGAAAUGCCUCUGCUCUUUGUGUCUGUUUAAUUCAAUGAGAAUCCCAGCCCCAGAUGUCAUGAAUGGUGGGCUUUGUGCUGGCCCUUCCUAAGCCCUAACCGCCAGCCCUGCUCUCUGUCUUUCUUGUUUCCCACCACUGGAUACUGAUUAACAAACUAAAUUAUUUUUCCUCCCUAAUGAUGUUUUCCCACUUUGCCCACCAGGCUGGAAGAAGCCACGGGGAGGAAAGAGUUUGUGCAAAGGAUGAGAUAGCCAGGGAAAAAAUUAAAGAGACAGUGUUGCUCUCUGGACUCUGGCAGCGCAGGUCUGCUCGGCUUUAUUUCCUUAUUAGAGGACAUGGUCGUGUCUGGCUGUAUUUUAUGUGGCUGUGUGUAUUUCAGCCGAGGGGAUGGGCUCAAGAGCAUCUGCACAAGGUAUGCUCUGAAGCAUGCCAAGGUCCGUAACUCACUCGCAAUUGUGCAUUCGAGUUUGCAGGGUCCCAAAUUUAAGGUCUCUUUUCCAGCCCUUUCUUCGUGAGCGAUGUUUGGUAAUUACUUGACAUCCAUCCAUACACGUAGGAGCCGCUUUCUAAUUGAGACAAAUUCUCUUUUCCUUAAUCAGAGCUGACUGCGAGUUCGUGGAGCGGGAUGCCUUGGGAAGGGAUGGGACAUCUCCACCUGAGCGAGGAGAGGUGAGUCCCUGGGAGUCAUGCCAAAAGUCCCUCUGUGCAAUGGGAGAGCAGCUCUUUUACCUGAUCCCUCCCUCCCACAGCCAAAUUUCCCAGCGAGGCUAUUGAACCAGGGCCAGUUGUUAGCUGCUGUUAGAGAAGGCCAGCAGUGAUAACCCAGUGAACCUGUAUGGAGCUGGAGGCAAGCAGCCAAGGUGGACUGUGCAAAGCCUACCUGCUUCCCAGAGCCAAGCAGCGCUCUUUGCCACACGCCAACAAGGCUGUGGCCAGCAAACACCCUCCUGAGCUGGGAGAGAGGGUGGGUGAAAACCUGUGCAAGCAGGAAAAGCAGCAGGGAGGAAGAAAGCCUUCCUCAAGCAAAAACAGAAGGUUUGAAUGGCGUAGCUGGGAGGUGGUAUGAGAGGUGUAGCUGGGAGUCAUUGAGGCGGGCAGUUGGUUUGGCAUUUUGCUUUUGUUGGUUGUUCCUCGGUUUAGAUGCAGGCAGGAAGAAUAAGCAGAGAAAAGGGUGUUGCUUGUCUGCACCCACCAAGCACAGCCACUGCAUACAACGCCUUGUGUACGGCCUUUGCUUCCCACCGCAGUCACAUCUGACCCUUAUUACUUCUGCAAGGUAGAACAAGGCAGGAAAAAUGGCUGUGCAGUGAGUUUCUUCAUGCGCCAGGAUUUAUUAAGAACAAUAGGGGAAAUCAAUCCAUCUAUGUAGAAUACAUCGCAGGCUGCAAUGGGAUAAAGCAUUUAUUCCGCUCUUGAAGGGUAGAGCUAUAACUCAUGGGAGGCAAAACCCUUAGUGCUCCGGAGUCCCUUCCCUUCAUGUGUGCAAAGAAAUGCUUUAGCCCAUGGCAACCUACCCGCUAUUGAAUUUGUGUGGAGGAUCUGCUGCCCUUCCCCUCCGCCGGCCCCUUUUUGGAAGGCGAGUCACUCAUUAAAACACACCUCUGGAAAAUGAAGGGGCUGUCUGUUCGAAGGCAUCUCUUCAUCUUGGCUUUAUUUAAAACAGAAGAGGAGAGAAUAGAAAUGUCUUGGUGACGUAAAAGCAACCCCCCACCAAUUUGGAACAGAGAGAUUAAACCAGUGCAGGUUUUGCUGCAACUUUCUGCUGAUGCUCAAGGACCAGGCACAGCAAUUACAGCGGAGAGGGACAGGUUGGGCAUUGUAGCAAAGCAUGCUGAUGCCAGGGACUGCUGUGCGCUGUGGCUGAGUAUGUCCAAUGCUGGCUAGCUACAUGUGUGUCUCCGUAUGUAAGUACUACCCUGUGCCCGGCUCUCCAGCUCGCGGUAGAUGGCAUGCAGAGCAAAGACUGGAGCAGUAGUUAGCAGGGGCAAAAGGUGACUGGGAUUUGUUAUAAUCUUUGUGGGUGUGUGAGAGUGUGAAGGCGGGGGGGGGGGCAUUAAUAGUGAAAUGGUAUUUUCACUAAGCCUAUUUUCACUGGGUCUAAUCUAUCUUGUGGGAAGAGGAUCUCUUCAAUAGGGCAGACCCAGUGAGGCUCAUGAGCUGUUUGGAGGGGGUCUGGAGAGCUGAGGAGCACUGGCAGGGGGAGGCGUAGCAAUUGAGCGGACACAUGUCAGACAGUCUUCCUCGGCAGAGAUGACUUGGUAGGUAGCGUGCUGUUGGGCAGAUGGGGUUAAUUCUUACACCCAAAUCAAAAGGCGACCGAGGGGGGAAUGUUUUAUUAAUGAAAGCAGCCCUUUGUGAGUAUUCCUCCUGAGGCACGUUCCCUCCACCCGCUGCCUUCCCCCCUGGCUGCUGUCUGGCCCCGCGUCUUGCUCAGUACCUGCUCAGCUGCCACUCACCCACUGAUGGGUUUCAUCAAGAAGUGUCUCUGCAUGUCUGAGUCCUGGGCCCGGGUGAGCGAGGCCAUGCAGGAGGAGGGACAGGUCUUUGGCUUAGCCAGCAUGAAGAAAGGGAUGUGCCACAGACAGCAGAGCUUGAGCUCUCACAGGUUGUAUGCCAGCCUAUCGCUUGCUGCACGGUCGCCUUUCAGUGACAUCCAAGAUUGAGAGACACCAUGGUUUGCAGAGCAUAAGGGAAAAUGCAGGUCAGAAGUGGGCAUCUCCGUGGGUAGGGAUGAAGGGGACAACUACAGUUAGGUUGGGAACGUUUGGAAUGCCCCCUUCCCAUUCAACUGCCUCGCUCUCCUGCCAAGGAAUGGUCUCUAGAGAAAGGGCAGAGGAGCUAUUUCCAUGCUCCAGAAAGCAUUGCUGCCCGCUUCCUUGGGGGCACUGGGCAGCUUGCUGUGCCAAAGGACGGGGUUGUGUGAGGGGGAAGGGCUGCGAGCCGAGGUUAUUUCUGUCGCUUUGUUAAAAAUAAAACAAAAGCUGUUUUAUGACAAUUGAUUCGGAAGAAGGAGGAAGCGGAGCUCAAUUCCCAGAGCGCCUUUUAGAAAGGCUCUGCAUGCGCGUGCGUGCGUUGUACGUGUGUCAGAACAGAGCACCCAAGGAAGGCCAGGUCGGGAAACCUCGCACGGAAGCGGGGAAGAGACCCCGAUGCAUGGCUGCUUCCCUGAGGGAACCCCCGCAGGGCUAAUGUUUGAUCUGAGGCUCGGCUGUACUCCUCUGAAACCUUGGGAUGUCAGGAGCUCAAAGGGAGCCUGGGACAGAAGAGGAUGCUAUUUGCAUUUUCCUAUGAAUGCAUCUAUUUGUAUAAAUAUGGUGUCUCUGUGCAUGCGCACACCCCCCUGUGCAUGCAUUUGUUUGAAGAGCAACACGCUGUCCCUGUAGUGUUCUCCGCUUAGGGCCAGAAUUGGUUAGUCUGAAAUUCAGGCUCUUCCUGGAGGAGCUGUAACUCCCCUCCCUGCUCCAAAUCCAGCACUGCCUACGGACACAGGAGUCCCGAGAAGUUUUGCCAUGCGAUAGCGGAGUUUCAUUGUGUAGGAUUGUGACUCCCCCUUUCAAAUUUGCACAGACAUCAAAAGAGUCUGGAAGGUUCAAACAGAUCACAAUGUAAUCAAAAUGCCAAGCCACUGUCUGUUUCUGCCUUUGGGUUGACAAGCAGGAUUAGCACCCAAGGGAAGCAGGGUGUAAUAGUGUUUCACGGGCACUGUGAACAGCCCAGAAGUGCACGGAGUACAGAAAGGUUAGCCGAAGGGCAGGUCUAGCUACAGAUGCAUGGUUGGGGGGUGGAUUUUAAAGCAAGGAGCUGUGUGCGUACAACCUCCAUGGAUAUUUCCUUUAGUAGAAGCAGGACUGUCCUGCAUAUGGCUACGUCAUGCUAGAAGCAGUUUAAGCUCAACUGGAGAAAGCCGGUCUUGGCCUAGAAUACAAGAGGAGCAAUGCGCAGCAGAAGCGGUUGACCUAUAGUGCUGUCAUGAUAAUGGUGGGGCUUUCCAUGUAGACAACGCCAGAGUGGAGCAGCCAGCCUGCCAUCCCUUAUGUUUCACUGUCUAACCGAGAUGUACAACACAGCUUGUCUGUGUGCGGCUGUAAUCGCCCUCUUGCCCGGGUAAUGCGUGCUCUGGUUGUCAGCGGAGUCGUGGAGCAGAUGCCAAAUUUUCAAUGUGUGUCAUGUGCCUAUUUUGCCAUGCAAAUAGCCCCAUCUUGGCUAAAGACACAUGAAACGCUUCCCAAACGCUGCUUUUAUGUCAGUAAUUGCUAUAGCCAUCCUGAGGACAGCCCAUGACCACAGAUGAGAGUUCCUCAUUCGGUGUCUGAUAUCGCUCGCUUGGACAACUGAACAACACCAAUGUUUCCAUUGUGAAGUUCCCAUUAAAUGGGAAACACCAGGUGUAGCUUUGUCUGUGCUGUCUAUAUGACUUUACCUUUUCCUUUCAUAACUGAUUUUGUUUUAAGUUUGCCUGAAAUUGAGAUUUAGGAAGGUUGUGUGUGCUUCAGUGGUGCCUCUGCAGUUUCAGUUCAGGAUUAAUUCUGUUUCAGAGAGGAGAAAGGCAGGAUCCUUUCAGUACCUCUAAAGGGGCUGUGAGAAAGAAGGAGGCAGACCCUUCAGCAGGAUCUCUUGUGGUCGGACAAGGGGAAAUGGUUUCAAACUAAAAGAGAGAAGAUUUAUGGAUAUAAGGAGGAGGUUUUCUACAAUAAGGGUGGUGAGGCACUGGCACAGGUUGCCCAGAGAGGUGGUGGGUGCCCCAUCCCUGCAGACACUGCAGGUCAGGCUGGAUGGGGCUCUGAGCACCUGUUCAGCUGUACGUGUCCCUGUUCAGUGCCGGGCAGUUGGACCAGACGGCCUUGAAGGGUCCCUUCCACCUCAAACGGUUCUAUGGUUCGCUCUCUGGUGUCUGGGCAGGCCUUGGUUCCCCUCAUGGAGAUGGGACCUGCCUGGUGGGACAGGCAUGGCGAGAGCACAGCCACUGCAGUGGUCAUGCACCCAUGGCAACGUGUGCUGCCUUGUGAAGGAGAGCUGUACUGUGGUGACUCUCCCCACAGGCGCUGGGGUACAGCUCCACAGUUGGCGCUGCAGAUGAACGGCCUGGCUAAGAUGGCCGCCCGCCCUGCCUGCGGGCACGCUCAGGCCUGUGAUGGCGUCUGCUUGUCUCCCUUUGUCUUCAGGGCAGCAGCAUGGCUGCUCAUGCUUCCAGGCCCCAGGUGCCAGCUGCCGGGCAGAGGGCAGCCCGCCGGGGCAGGCCCUGAGGUAGCGUGGGCCCUGGCGGCCAUUUUGAGGGAGGCGAGCGCUGCUUGUAAGAUGGCCGCAUGGGCAUGAGGUGGGGUGCAGCGCUGCCUCGUCUUCACCACACUGCCUCCCUCACGCCGUCCCCUCCUUAUCUUGCUAAUUACCAAUGAAGGCAGAACAAUAACGGGAGCUGGCAUGCCCCAGUUCUUUCUCUGCCACCUCCUUCCUCGGGCGGAAAAUCUGCACACACACACACACGCGCACACACACGCACACCCCCGCCCGCCAGCCCCUCUGUGAUAUUAAUUGAAUUAACAUACUUCCUAAUUUGCCCUGUGUUUUCCGCGCGCUGUCUCCCAGCCGCCUCGUCAUGGCUUAUCCAACUGGUGGGGACGGAGCGGACGCAUUCUUCCCCCUCCGCUCGUUUGGUUGUAUGCGAAAAAUCCUUAAUGACAUAUAAAAGGGGUGGCGUGGGGGUGGGGAUGGCGGGACAAUAGCCCAUGAGGGAUUUGGCAGGAGACGUGCAAUAUUUACCGAGAUAGACCAUCCUUGCUGUCAUUUUGUUGGUGGAUUACGAUGGCCGUUUUCCCCGCGUUCCUCCAUUUAUUUAUUUUUCCGAUGGCGGGGGGGACGCGUUGGCACGCCGCUGCUUUGUGUGCCUUGCUUCACCUAUGAAAAGGACACAUUAAGGUGUUUCCAUAAACCCCUGGAUGACAAAGAGAGCGCCUUUCUGCUCGGCUUGUAGGCAACAAUGACAGAAGCCUUUAAAACCAUGAUUUUCAAACCCCCCCCCCCCCCCCCCCCCCAAUGAUUGCAGAAGGCUUCCCCUAAAAGGAACUUAAAUACAUAUCAUUAAAUCUAAAGCACUAAGCUCUGCUCCUGCUAACUAUGCCAUGCUUUUUGUUUCUGAUAGUAUUUGUCCAUUGCGGAGCGUGAGCGAAGGAUGCGGAGCCUCCCCCGCCUUCCUCCCUUUGUUUAAAUGACAAAAUGUUUCAGUGUUUUUGUUUAGAAAAUAAACCUUGGUGGGUUGAUUCCCCCCCCUCCCCCCCCCCCCAGCUUUUUAUUUUUAUUUUGCAUUUAUCUUGGCGUGAAAUCCAGGCUCCUCCUCUUCCCAGAUCUUGGGAAUCCAUGUUCCUCGUGAUCGCUUUUCCCUCCUUUAUCUAAAACACAAUGUGAUUUUAUAGUAUUACUCCGAAAACAUACCAAUAAUAUUUUGAAUUUCAGUAUUUGCGGCUUCAGGAUAUUGCAAUUUUUUUUUUUUUUUUUUUAUAAGCGACGAAUGAAAAGCGAUGAUUUAAGUGUGUAAUGCACAAUACAGAUGCCAUGCAUUGUAAAUACAUUUCAGGGGCAUAAAAUCCAACACACAGAGCCGGUGUUCCACGAAAGCCGGGAGUCCAAAAAUAACUGUAAAAAUGAAUUGUCUGUCAGGAUGAAUCUCUCAGAUCCUAGCCGAUGUUUGUGGGGUUACCGGAUACAACUGGGUUACUUAUUGGCAUAAAUAUCUCAUUUUAAAAUGCUGAUGACAAACUAUAAAAAAAAAAAAAAGAGGUGAAGGAGGUAUUUGACUGAUUAUUGGAUACCGUGGAUUCCCCGCAUUUAAUUUCAUACUUACAUGCUAUUUGCUUAUCCCAUGUUUAUGGGUAUGCGCUUUAGCUUCGUAUAAAUCUCUCCUGUCUGUCUGUCUCGCCGUGUUCUUUUCUCUCCUGGUAUCCCAUCUGCUUCUCAUGGUCCUUCUCCUGAAACCACAUCGCAGGAUCCGAUGGGGAUAAUGGGAAUCCGCCUCUGGUCUCUAUCAUAAACAUGCCAACGUGGGCUAUUGUGUCAGGAGCCGGCGAUCACCAGAUGGUGCUUGGUUGCCCAGGGUCUGUGUCACUGGGUUUGGUCUCUCUGUAAGCCAACAAGCCCUGUAGUGUUGUAUCCCCCCAAGAUCUACCCACUCUAGUUAGAGACUGUGUAGGGACGUUGGGUGAUGUACCCAGAGAGGAGAUGCUUCUGGGAGCGUUUGGCUCUUUGCAGAUAUGAGCUGAGAUUUGUUAAUUCCUGUGCUCAGCUGUGUUCACCCUGUCUGCAUUCGUGGGUAGGAAAAUUAGCCUGUUUGCUUUUGUAGGACUAAAUGCUGUCCUCAUGCAGGAAAAAAAAAAAAAGGGGGGGGGUCCGUGCCUGCUUGAGCAGACAUCUCCCCUUGCUGUAUGCACCAGGCUUGGGAAGACAGCACAGAGAUACCUCUGUAUCAAUGGGGUGCGGACAAAAUCAAGAUAUCUCCUCUCUCUUGGGCUGCCAGACAGCUCUUGAGCGUUCGCAGAAGGACCCGCUUGUGUGGGUAUUGUGGAGAACAGCUGAGGUGUGGGGCUUGCCCCGUGAAAAAAUGCUCAGCGGGUCCAGCCAGGAGAAACUCAGGGCCAAAUCCGGCUCUUCAUUUGGUGCCUGCAUGUCCUCGUGAGGUCCUGGAUGUUGCUGCGCAUGUGAGCUGCAGAGUGGGAAUUAAUGCAGAAAUAAAGAUUGAAAAUAAAAACACUGAACACAGACAGAUGGAGAGAGCCUGGCAUAAUUACAUUUAGUGGAGGGCCGCCAUGAAUGAAACCAAUUAAAGGAGAAGCGAUGCUUGUAUGAGGGAGAGGGGGGGAAGACCUCUCUGUAUCUUCUCAGGCAUCCGCCGUCCGGUGGGGGCCCCUGGAGCAGAACGGAGGUGUAAUGCUGAGGAGCUGCAGGGCAGAGCACAGCUUUGGUCACUUUGGAGUUGGAGAUCUUGAGCCGGGGAGGAGAUCCCAGUGAGAGGAGAAGGGAUGUCCCCAGCCUGACAGCUCCUUCCUGGCUGCGCUCUGCCCGCUCUCUGCCCGAUGUCUCCGGGAUUCUCCAGGAGGGACCCAACCUGCCGUGGCCCCAGCAAGAGGCAGCAUUGGCUGCUGGACGUGGAGGGGUUCUGCAUUGCUUCGCACCUGUGGGGGGGGAGCCAGGGGAUGGGGAGCCUGGCAAAAAUCCCAUGUAACUCCUGUAUGUCACCUCCAGGACCCAAAUACCCCUGGGCAGAGAGGUGUGAGCACCGUCCCAGCUGGGUGUGGGGAUGUUGGUGGGAGCAGGAGGGAGGUCUGAGCGGGAUGGAUGCCAUGUUAAGGGGCUCUGCUCAUGGAGCAGAGCUUGGCCUACACUGUGCGUGCGUGCGUGAUGGACUGAGCGUGGGCUGGCCACGCCUGGUCCAGGCGGUGUUCCAUUGCACUGUAAGAAAAAUGCACUGUAAUUCCCCCCUAAUUAAAAUCAACCCCACCCCGUGCACUGUUGCAAAUAAACACUCCUUUCUGCAAAAGCGAG
ensembl:lncRNA